AGAGUUUGAUCAUGGCUCAGAAUGAACGUUGGCGGCGUGGAUUAGGCAUGCAAGUCGAGCGAGAACCCCGCAAGGGGGGACAGCGGCGAAAGGGACAGUAAUGUGUAGAUAUCUGCCCUUAGGCCCGGGAUAGCUGCGGGAAACUGCAGGUAAUACCGGAUAACAUCUCCGGAUCAAAGGUGAGAUUCCGCCUGAGGAUGAGUCUGCAUCCUAUUAGCUAGUUGGUGGGGUAACGGCCUACCAAGGCAUCGAUGGGUAGCGGGUGUGAGAGCACGACCCGCGUCACUGGGACUGAGACACUGCCCAGACACCUACGGGUGGCUGCAGUCGAGAAUCUUCGGCAAUGGACGCAAGUCUGACCGAGCGACGCCGCGUGUGGGAUGAAGGCCUUCGGGUUGUAAACCACUGUCGGAGGGGAGGAAAUGCGGGUGGGUUCCCCCAUCCGUUUGACCUAUCCUCAGAGGAAGUACGGGCUAAGUUCGUGCCAGCAGCCGCGGUAAGACGAACCGUACGAACGUUAUUCGGAAUCACUGGGCUUAAAGGGUGCGUAGGCGGCGCGGAAAGUAGGGUGUGAAAUCCCUCGGCUCAACCGAGGAACUGCGCCCUAAACUACCGUGCUCGAGGGAGAUAGAGGUGAGCGGAACUUAGGGUGGAGCGGUGAAAUGCGUUGAUAUCCUAAGGAACACCGGUGGCGAAAGCGGCUCACUGGAUCUUUUCUGACGCUGAGGCACGAAAGCUAGGGUAGCGAACGGGAUUAGAUACCCCAGUAGUCC
rnacentral:rRNA from 1 species